rnacentral:rRNA from 1 species
AUACGGAGGGUGCGAGCGUCAAUCGGAAUUACUGGGCGUAAAGGGUGCGUAGGCGGCUUGAUAAGUCGGAUGUGAAAGCCCCGGGCUUAACCUGGGAAUUGCAUUCGAUACUGUCAGGCUAGAGUAUGUCAGAGGUUGGCGGAAUUCCUGGUGUAGCGGUGAAAUGCGUAGAUAUCAGGAGGAACACCAGUGGCGAAGGCGGCUAACUGGGACAAUACUGACGCUGAGGCACGAAAGCGUGGGGAGCAAACAGGAUUAGAAACCCUAGUAGUCC